GGGGAUUUAGCUCAGUGGUAGAGCGCUUGCCUAGCAAGCACAAUGCCCUGGGUUCAGUCCCCAGCCCA
rnacentral:tRNA from 1 species